AUCAAGGUGGAGAUCAAUCGAUAUGAUGGGAAGAACAAUUUCUUCCUAUGACAAAGGUGAAGGAUGUGCUCAUUCAAUAGAGGUUGAUCGAUGUUCUCUUGUGUGAGGAGAAACCGACUAUCAAAAAAGAUACCAAUGGGAGCCCAGUAUGAGGUAGAGCUCUAGGAGGAAGAAGAUUAGGCACAAAAUAGGAGACUCAAAGGGAUGAUAGGCAACAUUGCUAGGAGGCUACCCCA
rnacentral:lncRNA from 1 species